GACGCCACUGCUCCUAGUUCCCCUCCGGCUCCGCACUUGCAGGUCGCCUCCUUAAUCCAUCACUGGCAGCCGCUGGAGGUCGUUCCAGAUUGAAUCCCUGAGGGCCGGCAGCUGAGACGUACCUUCUCCGUCACCGCUAACACCAGGACACCGCUGCUGCCAAUUCCCCUCCACUCUCGCACUUGCAGGUUUGUCUCUAACUCCUGCAGUAGCUACUAGAUUGCUAAUUAUGUUAGGACUGAAUUUGUCAGUUGUAUGUUAGCAUAUUAUCUUUGUAAAUCACUAUGUUUUAUUGUUGAAUCACUAUGUUAGCAUAUUUAUUGUUACAGAAUGGAUGUUGGAAAGGUCAAACGUCUCUUGCGUUAUCCUAAAGGUUCCGAUCAAUAUGUAGCUGGUGUUAAAGGAUUUAUUGAAUUUGCAUUUAAAGAUAAGUCUGAAGGUACCAAGAUCUAUUGCCCAUGUCAAACAUGUGUUCACACUACUACACAACCAAGGGAUGAGAUGUAUGGACAUCUGGUGUGCAAUGGGAUACUUGAGAAUUAUGAUGAAUGGGUUUUUCAAGGUCAUCAUUCAGUGAAAGACACCGGUAGUGAAGAAGCUAAUUCACAUAGCGAGGAAAUGCACGUUAAUAUAGAUCAACUGAUUGAAGAUGUUGUAGGGCAUUUGUAUGAUGACACAACAAUGGUCGAUAGUCAAAUACCACUAAAAGGGCCUAAUUUAGAAGCACAAUGGUUUUAUAAGCAGCUGGAAGAUUCCAAAAAACCUCUAUGGACAGGGUGUGAGUUGAGUGAGCUAACUCUUUUUGUGCUUCUAUUUAAUGUCAAAACCAUGAAUAAGUGGUCUGAUAAGUCUUUUGAUGAUCUACUAGAGGUUUUGCGUAUGGCUAUUCCAGAUGGAAAGGAACUGCCCAAGAACUUUUAUGAGGCUAAGAAACUUAUUUCUAAAUUUGGUCUUGGAUAUGAAAAUAUCGAUGCUUGUCCAAAUAAUUGUCAGCUGUAUUGGAAGGAAAAAAAGAUGAUGAUUUUUGCUCAAAUUGUAAGGCUUCAAGGUGGAAGGAUAAGGAACCUGAGUCUGUAUUAACAAAGAAGGAAAGAAGGAAAGCAACACCUUGCAAAGUUUUAUGAUACUUCCCUAUUAAAAAGAGGCUGAAAAGACAAUUUAUGUGUAGACAAACAGCAACUUUUCUAAGAUGGCAUGAUGAGGAGCGCAUUAAGGAUGGUGCACUCCGACAUCCUGCUGAUGCACCGGUGUGGAAUAGGUUUGAUGAAAAGUUCCCAGAAUUUGCAUCGGAAUCUCGUAAUAUUCAUUUUGGUUUGGCUACUGAUGGGUUUAAUCCAUUUGCAAUGUUGAGCUCCACUCAUAGUUGUUGGCCUGUUGUUUUGGUAGUAUAUAACCUACCUCCUUGGCUUUGCAUGAAAGAACACAACAUUAUGUUGUCUUUAAUUAUUCCUGGUCCAAAAAGUCCUGGAGAUAGCAUUCAUGUUUUCCUUCAGCCACUCUUGGAUGACCUAAAGGAUUUAUUUGAGAUUGUGAUUACUUGUCUCUCUAGGGUUAUCACAUUAUUAAUUAUGAUAGAAAAUCUGUAAUUUGCAACAGGGUAUGAACAAGGAUGCAACAUCUAAAUGCUCACAACAAAUAAACUAUCAGGCUGGCACUCCCGUAUACAUAAAGAGCUGGAGACAUAAAAGUAAGAAUGUUGCCUUAGGGACAAUACUGAGUGUUGAUCCAGAUCAGAAAGUUGGAGGCCUUGAGCUAGGCAAAGAAUUUUAUAUGCUGUGUGUUGGUCUUACCUCUGUGCCUGAUGAGCCACUAAUACGACCAUAUGACAACUUCCAAGUUAUCGGAGACGUAGGCAAAAAUCCUAUAGCAUGGCCUUCAAGUUGUGUUGCAAAGAGUGUCAGCCAAUCAUAUUGAUUUAGCCAGGUUGGAACCCAUAGAAUGCAAGGUCUACUGGAAUGGUGCUUUCACUGGUCAUUUGAAUUGGUUCAAGAGAAGAGUCGAUUGCAACUAGACUCCUAUAUGUAUAUGUUGCUUUCACAGAAAACAUGUUUUAGAACACACAUUAUUUGAUAGAUUAUGUUUUGGAUGAAACUCUAUAAUCGGAUAUUUUGUUUUAAAUAUAGAAUUUAGAGUUGUGCGCAUUUAGCAUUGUGUCUUAUGAUGAUGGAAAAAUUCAAGGCAUUGUGUAUGCUAUAUAUUUGUAUGAACUCAAAUAAAUAAAUAAAUAAAUAAUUUCAUGGUUUAUUCCUUGCAACGCAUA